rnacentral:rRNA from 1 species
AUUGCACGCUGGCGGCAGGCCUCACACAUGCAAGUCGAGCGAGCGGCGGACGGGUGAGUAAUGUAUGGGGACUGCCCGAUAGAGGGGGAUACCUACUGGAAACGGUGGCUACUAACGCCUACUGUCGGAUAACCCAUAUGGGAUGAGCUAGUAGGUAAGGUAAUGGCUUACCUAGGAGACGAUCCCUAGCUGGUCUGAGAGGAUGAUCAGCCACACUGGGACUGAGACACGGCCCAGACUCCUACGGAAGCAGCAGUGGGGAAUAGUGCACAAUGGGCGCAAGCCUGAUGCAGCCAUGCCGCGUGUAUGAAGAAGGCCCUAGGGUUGUAAAGUACUUUCAGUCGGGAGGCGUUACCGACAGAAGAAGCACCGGCUAACUCCGUGCCAGCCGCCGCGGUAAUU